CUUCUUCUUCUUCUUACGACGUAAUUCUGUUUUAACCCCACAAAAGUCACUGCUAUCGUUUUGGUGAGAAGGCACGCCAACAAGGGGACGGCGGAUGAUUCUUUGCGGGGUGAAUUCCAUCAAGGUGUGCGCACACAGGUUCUCAGCGUCAGAAAUGGCCAAAUCACUUGUGGUCUCCUGUGUAGCUAAUAAAAGGAAGAGAAAUGAUUUCGUCAAGGAGAGCCAUUUAUUUCACAGUGUCCUGAUCCCCUGGCCUACCUGGCAGACAGUGUGCCAAGGCAAAGUUCCAAGUGCAAAAGCCAAUCCAUACAAGCCAAGUUCAAAGAUCAGGAAACACAGUCCAGGGUCAGUCCAAGUACGCCAAUAUGGGCGUUCAGCAGUCAGGAUACAGACCAGAGUCAAUCUCGAAAUAGAAACCCAUGAAGGUCUGAGGAGAAUCCCAGGUGAGAGUCUCUCUGGCUUGUUGGCACAUCAUCUCUGCACCCGGUGAAACCUAACCAGUUAUUUAGUGGCAAGCGAAAACCAAUGGGAAAGGAUAAAACCACUGAUCUUUAGGCAGAUCAGAUUAGGCGUGUUUCGGGUAAGUUUGACUGAGUUAUCCUGCCACUGAGCCAGGUUAACGACUUGUCCUGUAUUCAGACUGUGAACUCACAGGCCAUGGAAUAUCUCCUGAGCUAACCAGCAGCAAGAAGUGGCUAUCGGGGUGGGAUCAGGUGCUUCAGAGAACCUGCAGGAAUUCUGAGAGAAAGAGGGUGCUGCUUUGGUGCUGUCCAGAACCCUACUGAGGCCUUUAUUUCAUUAAGUUUAUUAUUGCAUUUUGGGGACGCAGGUGACGCUGUGGUCUAAACCACAGAGCCUAGAGCUUGCCGAUCGGAAGGUCAGCAGUUCGAAUCCCCGUGACGGGGUGAGCUCCCGUUGCUCGGUCCCUGCUCCUGCC